AUUGAACGCUGGCGGCAUGCCUUACACAUGCAAGUCGAACGGCAGCAUAGGAGCUUGCUCCUGAUGGCGAGUGGCGAACGGGUGAGUAAUAUAUCGGAACGUGCCCUAGAGUGGGGGAUAACUAGUCGAAAGACUAGCUAAUACCGCAUACGAUCUACGGAUGAAAGUGGGGGAUCGCAAGACCUCAUGCUCCUGGAGCGGCCGAUAUCUGAUUAGCUAGUUGGUGGGGUAAAAGCUCACCAAGGCGACGAUCAGUAGCUGGUCUGAGAGGACGACGAGCCACCCGGGGACUGAGACACGGCCCAGACGCUUACGGGAGGCAUGAGUGGGGAAUUUUGGACAAUGGGGGCAACCCUGAUCCAGCAAUGCCGAGUGAGUGAAUAAGGCCUUCGGGUUGUAAAGCUCUUUUGUCAGGGAAGAAACGGUUCUGGAUAAUACCUGGGACUAAUGACGGUACCUGAAGAAUAAGCACCGGCUAACUACGUGCCAGCCGCCGCGGUAAAAC
rnacentral:rRNA from 1 species